UUUUACGCUGUGCAUACGCACAUGCCUGAUGGGUACACACACUCUUAUAGACACCCUCUACUCACAGCGUUCACACAGCUUGUGCAUACGCACUAUUGCUCAUUUUUCUUUCCGCGCGUGCGUACGCACCUUACGCACCUCCAAUUCACGCCCCUCUGCUGGGAGCGCCCUCACAGUUGGUGUGUCCGCAUCCUACUACCUCUCCCCUUCUGUUGUCUUUUCCUCUUCCCUGAGCCAACGAAGCCCUUCCCUUUUCGUAUUCUCUUAACCUCCACCACCCUCAUCUUCUCACCGCCGGCGGACACCCAUCCCUCUCCCCUUCCUCUUCUCCUUCUUCUUUGCUUUUCGCUUCUUCUCAAACACAACGCAGCUUCUGCUUCUUCUUCUGCGCCACCCUCCCGCGUCGAACCACCGCUCGCGCCAGUGCCGCCCUCGAAGCUCUUCCCCUCUCUCUAUCUCAGUCGCAGAACCACCGAAACCAAGCCCAGGACCACAGCGCCGCCAGCAACCCUCAUCGCCUCUGCCGCUGCCCUGUUUCCACCGCGCUCCCUUCCCUCUGUCCGAACCCUAGCUCCGCCAACCACCACCGCGAACCACCAUAGCCUCCACCAUCACCUUCGCCCUAACCCACAACCCACCAUACCACCACAACGCCGUUGCACAUCCCCAUCGCACAGCCCUCCUUCUUUCUUUUCCCAUUGCCGCCAGUGCCCUAUCAUCUCAGCGCCGAACCAGCCUCCAACCACAUCGCCACCGGUUCUCCCUUGCUCUGUGCGAGACCCAUACCACCUAACCUCCACUCUCAACCACCCCCUUGUCUCUGUUUCCCCCUUCCACUGCCUGCGAGAGCGCGUACAGGACAUAUCCCCUGUUUCCAUUUCACUGGACCCCAGGGUAGCCAGCUGCGCCAGCACCACCACCAGGCCGACCAAUUCUGCUGCUGCCCCACACACUUCCAGUGCCUGCCUUCCCCUCCCCUGUUCCGUUCCUUCCUUCCAGUAGCACCAUCACUCUUACAACCACUCUAUCGCCUAACCCACCAGCGUGAUGAGCCGGAAGAGGCAUGGGACAGUAGAGGUGAUGCAGUGACGACUCCUUUCGCUUCGCAAGAUCUUGAGCACCGAGGACGGUGCUACAAUUUAAGUGUGGGGGAGGAUCGCCAACUUCAAGGGAGGUCCUAAAGGCAAGUUUGGCAAGGCAAAAGUGGAAGGAAACAUGUACAAAGGGAGAAAACUUGAAGAAAACAAAGGAAAAGCACACAUUGGAGUGUGCGUGCGCACGACCUAGUGUGCGUACGCACGACCUAGUGUGCGUACGCACAAAAGUCACAAAACCAUGUGUGCGUACGCACGACAACCUGUGCGUACGCAUAAGAAGAAAAUUAGCAUGUGUGCGUCCGCACACGUCCCAGCGCGUGACUUAUUUAAUGGAAAUCGCUGGCGGCAAUUUCUGGGCUUCCAAGGCCCAGUUUUUGGACUUUUUGAUGCUGAUUCUUUCUAUAUUAAGCAAGGCCUCACUCCAUUUGAAAGGGGAGCAAUUAGGGUUAGAUUUUAGUCAUAUAGUUUAUUUUCUAGAGAGAGAAGCUC